rnacentral:rRNA from 1 species
GCAAGUCGAGCGAGAAGCAGUUGUUCCGCAAGGUUCAGCUGUGGACAGCGGCGAACGGGAGCGUAACACGUGAGACACCUGCCCCCCAGGCCGGGAUAGCCCAGGGAAACUUGGAUUAGUACCGGAUACUCUCCUUGGACCGCAUGGUCCGUUGAGGAAAGGUCCGCUGCUGGGGGAUGGUCUCGCGGCCUAUCAGGUAGUUGGUGAGGUAACGGCUCACCAAGCCGAAGACGGGUAGCUGGUCUGAGAGGACGAUC